UGGAGGAGUUUCCAUUUGUUGCGGCGGUCUCUAAUUCGCUUGGUGCAGGUCGGGAACUGACUCACCGGUGACGCUGUCCGCGCCGGAAUCGGUGGCGUUAGUUUCGUUGAUAUUUUGUUUGCAUUUAUCGAUAUUUAGAGAGCUCUCUUUAGGACUUAUUUGUUAGUAAUUUGUUUUGUUGAAAUUAACUUGAUGUAUGUGUAGAUAAGUAGAGAGUGUUUACCCCCGGUUGGUUAAGUAAUAGAUAUGAAGAGAGUUCAUUUUUUUUUUGUUUUUAAUAAAUUAGUUAUGUAUGAAAGUGCGCCUCGUCUAUGGCUUAAGUUUGUUCCCGCCUUGCAUCAACUGAAUCGGUGACCGCGGUGAAUUUGAUUAUGUUUGGAUCGAUCUAUUCUCUCGCUACAUGAGGUUUGUUUUUCAUUCAUUUUGAUUCAAAUAUUUGCAUAUAUUUUUAUCUGUAUCGUGUGCGUGUGUUUGUUUUUUCACUCUUCUCUCUUUAUUUUUUUUAAUAUUUCUGUUGUGUAACUGAUUGGAUUUAUCUGGAUCUAGCUGUAUCUAUUGCUGUGUGCAGGCUCGUGAUCCCAGCUGUGUUUAUUUGUCCUUCGGAUGAUCGAAGAGUUUGGCUGUGCUUGUAUAAUAAAUGUGCAAUUUUUUUUCUUCUUCCGUUUUAAUGCAAUUUUUGAAUUGAUGAAAUUUCAUUAAAAAUAAGAGUUGCGGGGAACAGACAUAAUGAUUUAAAAAUCCUCCUGUUGAGAUUGCCACCAUGGAUUAAUCGUGCAAUUUUGAUGUGUAAGAGGAGGUUGUGCUUCAAUAGCGAAUGUUCAAAGUGAACAAUUUUAGUCAUGUUGACGAAUCAUAGAUUUGAGUUAUGGAUUAAUGUUGGAAUAUCACGUGUUUUCAAAUGAAGAAAAGUGACUCUUGAAUUGUCAUUGACGAAUUAGAGAAUUUCUAUUUUUAUUUAUAUUUAUCUGGAUUUAAGAGAUACUAGUGCUGAAUGAUGGAUAUUUAAGUUUGAAAUUUUGUAUUUUCUUUAUGCCAUUGAUAAAUCGUAAAUUGGAGUUUGAACACCAUAAGUUUUCUUGUUCCAUCUGUUUCAAAUGACACCUGACACAGCAUUAAUGUAGCUUCUGGCCUAUUAAUACAGUAAUCUAGAUAAGAUAUGAAAUGUAGACCCAGAAGGUAAAUUAUGUUGUGGUCGAAUGUGCAGUCUGCACCGUAACUACAAACGAAUUCAAAUUGAUGGUGCAUUUUUUAGUUAACAUUGCACACACAAUUUUUUGGAUGCUUUAAUGGCAUUAACUGCCUCCAUCUACGCCUUGUCAUCACCUUCUUUGGUUAAGUUCACAGAGGGAAAUAUAAUUUGACAAUUUCUCCAAGUCUUAGUUAAUGUUUUAUAUGAGAGUUUGUCAUUCUAAUUUUAGUUGAAAUUCAGUAUUUGCUGUUGUGUUUGAAGGGUCUUAAUAACCCAAUAUCGAUUUGAGGGCUGAGGGACAAUUGAAGAGCUUCCAACUGCUCGUUCAUUUGUUUUGUGCUCAUUUAAGUUUGUUUACAUAGUAACCUAAUAAAAUAAAAAUUGCAUUCUUAUCACAAGUGAGAAGUUUUAUAUGUGAGGACAGCCUGUCAGGUGUGUUUGAUUGAUGUAAUAGUCAUAUUGAGGAAUUCAUGUUGGGGUUUUCAACGCCAUUUACUCAAUCGAGUUGAGGAGAAAGAUAAUUUGGAGGUGCCAGAGUUUAGAGUAAUCCAUGGAGGCAGGAACAACAAAUAUGAGUUGCUUAGUGUUUGAGAGAAACUAGUGUUUGUAACGUACUGGCCUACAAGUUUUCAGUUGGAGAGUUUUGGGUACAUAUUCUUUUACAGUGGGUUAGUUGGUGUCUCUUAACCAAUGGUUAGUGUCUUGAAGUUGAAUCCAGCAAAUUUAUAUAUGCCAAUUUAGUAAUUUACCAAUUUGUGUUUAUUUGUUCUAUGUUGCAUCCUCAAUUGCCAAAGCAUCCGUCUUAACUACUAAUAGAAUAGAUGAAUUAUAUCAAAUAUAUACUCUUGGUAAUCUCAUGAUUAAGGGAUGAUCUAAAUUUUUCGUUUUGUCCUCAUGCUUCUUUUUUCUGUUUGUAAACGUCAUUUAUGUUCGUCACUCGUCAAAACUAAUAUGAAGCUUGACAUGUUUAAGGUAAUGUAGUAGGAUAACUAAGCUGCAGGCUGUAACAUAUUGGUAUCAGCUGCCUUCUUGUUAUGGGUAGAACUAGAACCUGUAGAGGGAAUAGACGGCGUGGUUGACAGCAAGAUUCCAGGAUGCAAAACAUCUCUGGCAGAACACAGUGUUUUGGGCUAGGUUUUUAUCGUAAAGUUUGUGUUACAGAAUACACAAAGAAGAUAUCAGAUGCAACUAGCCUCUACCUUUGCCAAAGGUAGAUUGAUUUUUAUUUUCUCAGUGUAUUGGAAGUCAAGUAAAAAAGACUUGUCUUAUGAUCCAUGGAAAUAAAAAUGCUGGUGCCUGGCAAUUUCUUAUUUGUUAUUUUCUUUAUGAAUCGGGUACUACAAUAAUGAGUUUACGUUGGUGAUUUGAUUGGAAGUCUUUGAUGCUUCUUUGGUUUUAUGAUGUUGCCUGUAUUCUUAGAAAUUUGCUAGUUAGAUUCCCCUAGUAAAGGGUGUUCCAGGAAUGCAGAGACUUUUCAGCAUCUCCAUUUUCAUUUUAAAAAUUUAGCUCAUGUAACCCAUGGAAACAUGGGUUAGCAGUGAAUUGUAGAACACUCGUGUAUCUUUUGUUGGAAAACAGCACUUCAAUGUAAGAACACAUCCAGCCUCUCCUUUAUCGCCUGUUCAGCUUACUCUACCUCUUAGUCUCGUUUUCUCACCAACUUGUGCCAUCCUAAGACCUAAGGUUUCUUUCCUCUUUUUGCCAAAUGGCACUAGACUUUUCUUUACUUCACAUAACCUGAACAAAAUUUCUACUUCCUUAUCCUCCCCCACUACACCCGGCUUAAUGUCCCUGUUUUCAAAUAGUGGCUCCCGCUAAACUAGCUGUUACUUAUUUCUUACUAAUUCCCUGGUUUCUCAACCUGCAUCAAUGCCUCUGUUUAGUGACUAAACCAGCUGUCACAACAAGCUCUUUUGCCUCUAUUCUAUCUCCUUCAUCAUUAAGGUGGUAUUACGUGUACAAAUUAAUGUAGUAGCUUUUUGUCUUGUGUGGCAUGGGAGGAAGUUGCAGCCCGUACACCUUCAUAUUUUUCCAAUUGUCAAUAUUUUUACCAUCUAUAUUACUUUUGCUAGUCAUGGUGCUUAAAAAUGCUGCCCAGAAUGUUGUAAUCUGUUAUAUUCUGAUCGGUACUGGGAUGAUGUUUUCAUAUUGAGCAUUGUCCUUGUAUUGGGUGUGAAGUUAGAAGUCUAGCAACGAUAACCGAUAGCAAAUAAAAUGUUGAAGGAUCUUUGGGCAGAAGACAAAGCAUGACAUGAGAAGUGUGCAUGGCUUUAUAAUAGUGGAUUGCAAUGUGCAGCAAGGGAAGGGAUUUUGUUGCAUGCCGUUUCAUGUGUAGUUAUAGCCAGCUGUGGUGUAUUAGUUACUUACUAAAUACUUAGUAAUUAAUUGUAGUUAGCUUUUAUGAAUGUAUUGCAUGAGGUGUGGUUGUUUGUAGCCCUAUAAAACAACCCGUUUCAGUUCCCAUUAUAGGCAUAUUUGGCAAUACUAUCUUUCUACCUUCCAUUUUCAUUCUUGGAUAGCUAAUAAUCCCCGAGUUAAUCCCUACAAUUUCCUUCUUGAGCACUGCUGUUUGUGGAUGAUUCAUUAUACCGGCAUCAUCUGUUAUCAGAGCAAGAAUUUACUUGGCCAUAAUUUAUGGUGAAAACAAACAAAAAUUACAGAUAAGGCAGCCAUGGAAAUGAAGACAUUCAAGGAGCUGCAGAGAGAUUCUUCAAUGAACUGAAGUCAAGGCAAGAUAAAUUGGUGGGAUCCGCAAAGGUGAUGGACAAAGGAAAGGAUAACAUUGGGCAUGCCUGCCCCUGGUACCAACCUAUGAAUGGGUUCAAUUCAAAUACCAAACCUCACUUCGCCUCGAAUUUCCUAAAUUCUCAGGAACCGACCUCAAUUCCUGGUUAUACAAGGUAGACCAAAUUUUCUUUGAUUGAUGACUGUCAUCUUUGUUUCAAAAGCAAAUGUAGUUACACUACUUUUAUGGAGAUUCCAUCCAGCAGCAUCAAGCUUACUGUUGUGGGAAAAUGCAUCUUUACGUGAGAGGUUUAUGUCCUGGCUCUUGUUGAAAGGUUAGAGUUAAACAGGAGGAUCACAUGGCUGAGCUCAAACAGCUCAAGCAGACACA
rnacentral:lncRNA from 1 species